AGAGUUUGAUCAUGGCUCAGGACGAACGCUGACGGUGUGCUUUAGGCAUGCAAGUCGAACGAGAAAGCCCUUCGGGGUGAGUAGAGUGGCGAACGGGUGAGUAACACGUGGGCAACCUGCCCCUCGCAGGGGGAUAACCGGAGGAAACUCCGGCUAAUACCCCGUAAGCUUUCAGGGUCGCAUGGCUCUGUAAGGAAAGGUAGCUUCGGCCAUCCGGCGAGGGAUGGGCCCGCGGUGCAUUAGCUAGUUGGUGGGGUAAUGGCCCACCAAGGCGACGAUGCGUAGCUGGUCUGAGAGGAUGAUCAGCCACACUGGGACUGAGACACGGCCCAGACUCCUACGGGAGGCAGCAGUCGGGAAUCUUGCGCAAUGGGCGAAAGCCUGACGCAGCAACACCGUGUGGGCGACGAAGGCCUUCGGGUCGUAAAGCCCUGUUGUUGGGGACGAAGGGCGAAGGGUUAAUAGCCCCUAGCUUGACGGUACCCUUCGAGGAAGCCCCGGCUAACUACGUGCCAGCAGCCGCGGUAAUACGUAGGGGGCGAGCGUUGUCCGGAAUUAUUGGGCGUAAAGAGCGUGUAGGCGGUCCGGUAAGUCUGCCGUGAAAACCCGGGGCUCAACCCCGGGCGUGCGGUGGAUACUGCCGGGCUAGAGGGUGGUAGAGGCGAGUGGAAUUCCCGGUGUAGCGGUGAAAUGCGCAGAUAUCGGGAGGAACACCAGUAGCGAAGGCGGCUCGCUGGGCCAUUCCUGACGCUGAGACGCGAAAGCUAGGGGAGCGAACAGGAUUAGAUACCCUCGUAGUCC
rnacentral:rRNA from 1 species